UCUAUGCUUGUGCGUUACGAUGACAGCUUAAAGGUUAUAUUUACAUAUUUGAAAAAUUUUCAUAAACGAUAAAACAUGAAUGAGGAUAUGGAAAUUGUGAAUAACGUGGAUAUGUUUGAAAGGCGAGACGAUAUAAUACAAAAGCAAGAGGAAUGUGAAGAUAUUGCCGCAGCCAAAACUACAACAUCUUUCCUAGUUACUCCAGAACUGCAAAACAAAAAUAAUAAACAGGCCUCCCCAUUUCCAUCAUCUAAUUUUUUACAAAAUGCAAACAGAAAAAGUGCCUUUCAACCUUAUAGACAAACAGCAACUUGUACACCUUUGACUAACUUACAAAGAGGGAACACACAAGCAGAAACUCCAUCGAUUUUACCCACUGAUAUAAACAUUCAUACCCUAGCAGGAUGUGGAGAAAUAACUGAAGAAGAUGUAAAAAAUGAAAGAGAUUUAAAUAUUUCAGAUAAGGAUGGUUACACUCCUUUGCACUGGGCAUCUUCAUUUGGACAAUAUAAUGCAGUUCAACUACUUUUACAGAAUGGAGCAGAGGUAAAUAAAUUGGGACCAAAUGAAGAGACAGCAUUGCAUAUGGCUGCUAAUGGAGGACAUCAUGAGGUCAUAAGGCUUUUGAUUAGUUAUGGAAUCAAUGUGAAUCAUGCUGAUCAUGUAUGUUUAUCCUAUUUUCUUAAAUGCUUAAUACUCCUUUGCUAUACGCAGCGAAAGGAAAUCAUCCACAUUCUUGUAACGAGUUACUAAUGGGUGGUGCUGACCUGACUAUGAGUAAUAUCAAUGAUGAAACAGCUUUCACUAUAGCCUUAAAAAACAAUUGUAGUUUAGCCCAGUCUGUUAUUCAGAAACAUAUCAUUUCAAAGUUCGAACUAUGAUGACCUUUUGUUAAGGUAUUCCCACCCAGCAAAUAAGGUAGCCAUUUUUUUUUAUUAUUUGAGAAAUAAAUUCAAACCUUAGAAAAAUUAUAUUUUUAUAAAAAAUGCUAUAUAGAAUAGAUGAUAAUUGUUACUUGUAUAUACCAUAAAAUAUUGACAUAAUUCCAAUAAAAUAAUUAUUUUUA